GACAGGAGACAGUGGGGAAGAGCUCAUAGCGAGGUGGCGGAGGUGGCGCAAAGGGAGACUUCCCGUGUCGGCGGAAACGAUCCCACGUGCCUUCGCGGAACUCUCUCUCUCUACGAACACCACGCAAUAAAAGGCCACCUUACGUCUGCUCUUGGUCCCAUUACCCCCGCGAAAAAAUGAAGACCAUGGCCUUUGCUCCUUCGACCCUGCAACUCCAAACUCCUCUGAAGCUGAACCCUAAUCCUUAUUGUUUCUCUCUCCACGCCAAACCAACCCUUAGCUCUUCUCCUCUAUCUCUCAACCCCAUUAAAACCAAGACACUGGUGACUUGUGCCCUUGUUCAUGGCGUUCCUGCCACCUUAACCCCGAACCAGUUAACCAUUACCCAUGAAAACGACAAAGAAACCUCUCUCUCUCCAAUUAAGAGGGCUUCUUGUGAGUCUUUGCAGUACGAGAGCGGGUAUAUGGGCGCCAUUACUGAGAAGACUCGCUCAAAGGAAGGGGAGGAUAUGCCCAAUGCCAUGACUUACUUGACCAAUAUAUUGUCUUCUAGGGUUUAUGAUGUGGCAAUUGAGACGCCAUUGCAGUAUGCCACGAAGCUUUCAGAGAGGGCGGGGGUUAAAAUUUGGUUGAAGAGGGAGGAUCUCCAACCUGUUUUCUCAUUCAAAUUGAGGGGAGCAUACAAUAUGAUGUCGAAACUGACGAGGGAGCAAUUGGAAAAAGGAAUUAUCUGUUCAUCGGCAGGAAACCAUGCCCAAGGAGUUGCAUUGUCUGCUCAGAAACUCAAGUGCACUGCAGUGAUUGUUAUGCCUGUUACAACACCUGAAAUUAAGUGGAAAUCUGUUGAGAGGUUGGGUGCAACAGUUGUUCUUCAUGGUGAUUCCUAUGAUGAUGCACAAACAUAUGCAAAGCAGAAGAGUAAGCAGGAAGGGAUGGUGUUUAUACCAGCAUUUGACCAUCCAGAUGUUAUUGUGGGGCAAGGAACAGUUGGCAUGGAAAUAAUACGCCAACUGAAGGGUCCAUUGCAUGCAAUUUUUGUACCAGUUGGUGGGGGUGGUCUGAUAGCAGGAAUCGCUGCUUAUGUUAAGCGGGUUCGCCCAGAGGUGAAGAUAAUUGGAGUGGAGCCUGUGGAUGCAAACACUCUGGCAAUGUCAUUAUAUCAUGGGCAGAGAGUCUUGUUGGAUCAUGUAGGUGGCUUUGCAGAUGGUGUAGCUGUAAAAUUAAUAGGAGAAGAGACUUUCCGUGUGUGCAGGGAUUUGGUGGAUGGGGUGGUUCUUGUCGGCCGUGAUGCCAUUUGUGCAUCGAUAAAGGACAUGUUUGAAGAGAAGAGGAGCAUAUUAGAACCAUCAGGUGCUCUUUCGCUUGCUGGAGCGGAGGCAUAUUGCAAGUACUAUGGUUUGAAGGGUGAAACAGUGGUGGCAAUAACCAGUGGGGCAAACAUGAAUUUUGAUCGGCUGAGACUUGUAACUGAACUUGCUGAUGUUGGUCGUAAACGAGAGGCUGUUUUAGCAACUUUUAUGCCGGAGAAGCCCGGGAGCUUCAAAACGUUUGCUGAGAUGGUUGGUCCAAUUAACAUUACGGAGUUCAAAUACAGAUACGAUGGUACUAAAGAAGAAGCUUUAGUUUUGUGUAGUGUUGGUGUCCAUACAUCUAGUCAACUCAAAGCAAUGGUGGAACGCUUGGGAUCUUCUAACUUAAGGACUAUAGAUCUUACAAACAAUGACUUGGCAAAGGAUCAUCUACGGCAUCUUAUGGGUGGGCGAUCAAAUGUAAAAGAUGAGCUACUAUGCAGAUUCACCUUCCCUGAGAGGCCGGGUGCACUGAUGAAGUUCUUGAAUGCUUUCAGUCCACGUUGGAACAUCAGCUUAUUUCAUUAUCGUGCACAGGUCUUGUAUAUGCUGCGCAGAACACCUGAAUAUCUCGCUUAUUAGUGCAAUAAAGCUGCAGCUCACUGAAGUUAUGGGAUGCAUGAUGCCCAAGGCAAUCUAUCUAUGGUCAAUUGGGUCAUCUCCCAUCUAUUGAAGUUAUUGGACAUUGAUGGAGAGAUUGUGGGACCCCCAUGAACAAAGCAUGGCCCAAUGGUGGUCCAUUGUUCAAAUGAGGCAGGAGGUGACCAAGUUGAGAUGACAUCGGAUAAUCUUGCCUGAGGAUAUCACCUCUGCAACGGUCAAAUAGCCUAAUAAAGAUCAUACGAUGUUUACUUUGGGUCCAUGGCGUUGUCAACGGGGUGCUCUCUACAUGUCUCACUUUGCACAUUUUGUCGCAGCAGGGUGAUAUAGGGGCAAAUGUAUUGGUGGGUAUUCAAGUUCCGAAGGGCGACAUGGAUGAGUUGAGGGAUAAAGCUGAUGUUCUUGGGUACGAGUACAUGCUCGAGAUGAAUAAUGAGGCUCUUCGUCUUUUGAUGCAGUGAGAAAUAUGCACAACGCUUCGUCCAUUAGCUCCGUCCAUGUUGGACACGCACGAUGUACUUUAUCUAAUGAGAAGAACAAAUUAGGGAGGAUUAUAUGGUCAUGUUUUAAUGCUUUUUGUUUCUUGUGCGAGCCUAGUUUUUUGUUUUCUUUGCGUGAUGUCUUGGCUUUGUUGUUGUCAAAUGAAAGUAUGUGUAUCUCUUUCAAAUGGAUUUUAAUUAUCCUACCAGGAAUAAGUUCUAAUGGAAUUCAAUCUCUCUCUCUCUC